rnacentral:rRNA from 1 species
UGGGAACUGCAUUUGAAACUGGCAGGCUUGANUCUUGUAGAGGGGGGUAGAAUUCCAGGUGUAGCGGUGAAAUGCGUAGAGAUCUGGAGGAAUACCGGUGGCGAAGGCGGCCCCCUGGACAAAGACUGACGCUCAGGUGCGAAAGCGUGGGGAGCAAACAGGAUUAGAUACCNUGGUAGUCCACGCCGUAAACGAUGUCGACUUGGAGGUUGUUCCCUUGAGGAGUGGCUUCCGGAGCUAACGCGUUAAGUCGACCGCCUGGGGAGUACGGCCGCAAGGUUAAAACUCAAAUGAAUUGACGGGGGCCCGCACAAGCGGUGGAGCAUGUGGUUUAAUUCGAUGCAACGCGAAGAACCUUACCUACUCUUGACAUCCACGGAAUUUGGCAGAGAUGCCUUAGUGCCUUCGGGAACCGUGAGACAGGUGCUGCAUGGCUGUCGUCAGCUCGUGUUGUGAAAUGUUGGGUUAAGUCCCGCAACGAGCGCAACCCUUAUCCUUUGUUGCCAGCGAUUCGGUCGGGAACUCAAAGGAGACUGCCGGUGAUAAACCGGAGGAAGGUGGGGAUGACGUCAAGUCAUCAUGGCCCUUACGAGUAGGGCUACACACGUGCUACAAUGGCGCAUACAAAGAGAAGCGACCUCGCGAGAGCAAGCGGACCUCACAAAGUGCGUCGUAGUCCGGAUCGGAGUCUGCAACUCGACUCCGUGAAGUCGGAAUCGCUAGUAAUCGUGGAUCAGAAUGCCACGGUGAAUACGUUCCCGGGCCUUGUACACACCGCCCGUCACACCAUGGGAGUGGGUUGCAAAAGAAGUAGGUAGCUUAAC